rnacentral:lncRNA from 1 species
UGAGGCAACUAUUUUCAGGCAUUGCACAAUAAAUAUUAUAAGAGAACAAUCCCCAAGAAAGGGAAACCACAUGAGAGCAGCCCCAUGUUCACUCUAGUUCUCUGCCUGAGGGAAAUUUUCUCACUGUAGCACCAGGAGGUACAGUCCAAGCACAGCAUAGUGUUCGUAAUAGACAGAAAGAGCAGAGUUCAGAAUUUGGAUUUCAGAGAAGGAUAUACACAGGGCCCUUUAGAAGUCAUUGUGGGGUUUCCUCUUGGGGCAUUUGUUGAGGGCUGGACUGCAUAUACAGAGUGUGACAUUCUGUGCAGCCUGGAAGAAAUCAGCAGUGGGGUUGAGAGAAGAAUGUAGAUACUAGAGGUGGCACAGUGCUGGGAGAUAAUGGAAUUCUGACUUAAACAGAGUGGAGAGAACUUUAAAACCCCAGUCAUUCCAUUUACAUUUUAAGGAGAAAGAACCACUCCCUAGAGUAAGGACUACUCUAUAUCUGCCCUAAUAAAGCCUAAAUUUACCUCACCUGGAUAAAGGAUCAAGUAAAUUAAUUGCCUCUUGGAAACUCAGUACUCUUCAAGAGAUGCAAUAUAAACCAGCUUCCUUAUAAUGUCUCACCCACAGUGUGCAACAUAGAAUAAAACAAAACAAAACAAAAAUAGUAAUCCCAGAUACCCUGGAGGUUGAGGCAGGAGGUUGCAAGUUAGAGGUCAGCGUAGACAAUUUAUCUAGGCCCUGUCUCAAAAAGGGUUGGGGACAGGAAGUGACAAGAUGAGAGUUGCUAUGGUUGGUAUUGUCACUUCUGAGCAUUCCUGCAUUGAGAGAGAUUUUGGGAGAUAUAUCCAAACUAAAACAAUAUGCCAAGAUAAUCUCCUUAUUCAAAGUAAACAAUUAGCAACUUUAAUUCCUCUGUCAUAUAACACAAUAUAUUCACAGGUUCCAGGGAUUUAAGACACAUCUUUGGGUGGUCAUAAUGCUGCCUGCCACAUGGUGUAUGUACUCUGUAAUGGAACCAAACUAGAAAGCAAUGGCAGAAAUGCAAAAGGAAAAUCACUUACAGCUAAAUAAUCAUGGGUCAGAGAAAGUCUCAAAGGAGAUUUAAAAAUAGUUGCAUGAAAAUGAAAAUGCAGCAUCUCAACAUAUGUGGGACCCAUAGACAAAUAUUUUGUACAUACCAGUUUUAUUGAGCUAUCACCAUUUAAGGUGUAUGAUUCAAUGGCUUUUAGUUUAUUUAGAGAGUUGUGCAACCAUCACCACUAUUUUGAGAAUACUUUCACCACCCCAAAAAGAAACCCCAUACUUAUUCACAGUCACUUUCUAUUUCUAUGGAUUUGCCUAUUCUGUACUUGCAUGUAAAUUGAAUCAUUCAUUAUGUAGCCUUUUGGGAUUGAUUUCUUUCCUUUAAAGUGUUUUCAAAGUUAAUCUAGCUCUAUACCAGCACUUCAUAGAUUUUUGACAAUCAAAUAACAUUCUAUUGAAUGGAUAUAUCACUUUAUUAUCCAUCUAUUGAUGAACAUUUGGGUAGGAUCACUUUUGACUAUCACAUGUUUUAGCACAUUGGGUGAAAGAGAUACCUAGGUGAAAGGGAUACCAGGUGUAUCUAUGAGGGUAUUUUCAAAAACCUCAAAAUCUGCUUUAAUCAGUGUUCUCCAGAAUAUAUAUAUAUAUAUAUAUAUAUAUAUAUAUAUUAUAAACAUAUAUACGUGUGUGUGUGUGUGUGUGUGUGUAGAAAGAGAGAGAAAGGGGGAGAAACGGAAUUAUUAGAGAAACUGUCUUAAUUACAGAGGCUGAGAAGUCACACAAUAGGCCCUCUCUGCAAGCUGAAGAAUCAGGGAAGCCUGUAGCAUGGACCAGUCCAAGUUUGUAAGUCUCAAAACAAGGGAAAUUGAUGAUGUAACUCUCAGUGCAAUGCCAAAGGCCCAAGAGCCAAAGGAGUUGCUGGUAUGAAUUCUGAAGCUCAAAGGCCAGAGAACCUAGAAGCCUAAGCCCACAGAGCUUUACAGGUGAAUUCUUCCAAACAUUUAGAGAAUAAUACCAAUCCAUUACAAACUCUUCCAGAAAUGAAGGAAUGAAGGAGGAGAAAAGAACAUUUCCCAGCUGACUCUUUUGUUUUUUACUGGGCGUUAAGUCCAGGGGUACUGUCACUGAGUUUCAUCCCCAGGAUCUCGAUAAGUUGCUGAGUCUGGUCUUGUACUUGUGAUCCUUCUGCUUCAGCAUCCCAAGUUGCUGGGAUUUAAUCCUAGCUCCUAGCUCAUUCUGUGAGGCAAGUCUUAUCCUGUUAUCAAAGCCAGAGAAAAGUAUUUUACACACACACACACACACACACACACACACACAAUUACAGCUCAGUAUCAGGAAUAUAGCUACAAAAUAUUAGCAAACUGAAUCUUGUGACAUAGAAAAGAUUAUAAACCAUGACCAAGUGAGAUUUAUCUCAGAAAAAGUUGGUUCACUAUCCAAAAGAUGAAUUAACAUUACAUACCAUAUUAAUAUAGGAAAAAAACUCACAUAUUGUCUUAAUAAAUGCAGGAAAAAACAUUUCUCAGCAUCCAACACUCAUUCAUGGGGCUGCUUUUAUACCCUCAACAAUCUACAGUUAAUUCACACUUAAUGAUAAAAGACUGAAUUCUUUUCUCUUCAGAUCAGGAAUAAGACAAGAAUAUCCACUUUCAACAUUCUAGUGAAGUUUCUAUCUAGUGGCAUGAUGCAAGAAAAAAAACAUAAAAGUCAUCCAGAUUAGAAAAGAAGAAGUAAAGGUGUCUCUAUUCACAGAUGAUAUAAUCUUGCACACAAAAAAUUCUAAGAAACAGAAUUAAUAAUAGAAUUAAUACACAAUUUCAGUAAAGUGUGUUAAUCAAAAAAUAAAUUCAAAACCAAUUGUAUUUCUAUAUGUUAGCAGUGAAUAAUACUGAAAUGAAAUUAAGAAAGCAAUAUUAUAAUAAGAAUAAAAUACUUAGAAGUAAAUUUAAUAAAAUGAGUGUAAAACUAAGUGUGCACUGAAAACUACAAAACAGAGCUGUAAAGAGUAGGGGAUGUGGCUCAGUGGUAUAGUGCUUACCUAGCAUGUGCAAGACCCUGGGUUCCAUCCCCAUCACUACCAGAAAAUUGCUGGAAGAAAUUAAAGAAGACUUAAAUAAUUGGAGAGAAAUUCAUGUUCCUUGGAUUGAAAUUCUCAAUAUUAUUAAGAUGGCAAUUCUCCCAGAUUUAUGAUUCAGUGCCAACCUUAUCAAGAUUUCAGUAGGCAUUUUUGCAGAAAUUGACAAUCUAAUUUUAAAAUUUAUAUUGAAAUGCAAAAGACACAAAAGGAUUUUGAGAAAGAAGGAUAAAUUUGGAGGUUUUAGAUUGCCCAUUUUCAAAACUCACUAAAAGCUACAGUAAUCUAGCCAUAUGGUACUGAUACUAGGAUAGAUGUGUAGAUCAAUGGAAGAAAACUGAGAGUACAGAAACAAAUCCUUACAUUUAUAGUAAUUUGAUUUUCAACAAGAAUACCAAUAUAAUUAAACAUGGAAAGAACGGUCUGUUCAACAAAUGGUGCUUAGAUAAUUGGAUAUCAACCUGCAAAACAAAACAAAACAUAAAUUUAGAUCCUUCCCUUAAAACACACAUAAAUCACCUCAAAAUGGAUCUGGACCUAAACAUGCAGCCUAAAACUAUCAAACUUUUAAAAUGCAUCAGGAGAAAAUCUUCAUGACCUUGGAUCAGGUAAAAUAAAAACUUACAUAAUACACCAAAAGCAUAAUAGAAAAAAAAUGGGAAAAUUAUAAUUCAUAAGUAAGGAAAACUUGUGUUUCAAAAUACUCAAUAAGAAAACAAGGAGAUAAGACAAUGACUGAGAGAAAAUAUUUACAAGUCAUAUAUGAUAAAGGACUUAACAUCCAGAAAAUGAAAAGAACUAUUUUAAAAUAAUAACAAUACCCAACUUAAAAGUAAGCAAAAGGCUUGAGACAUUUAACCAAAGAAGAUACAAAUGACUAAAUAAGCAUGUGAAAAGGUGUUUAAUAUUACUCAUUAGGAGAAUACAAACAAAAUGCACUUGCCAGUAUGACUAUGAUAAAAAGGACAGAUGUUAAAUAAGUUACAGAAAAAAUGUGGAGAAAUUGGAAACUAUAUUCAUUACUGAUAGAAAUAUAAUAUGGUACAGGCUCUGAAAAAGUUUGAGUUCCUUAAAACUUCAACAUAAAGUUACUGUACAACACAGAAAUUCCAUUUCUAGUUAUAAACGAAAGAUAAAUGAAAAAUAUAUAUUCACAGGCAGAUUUAUAGAUAGUUCUAUAGUUGGACUUUUGAAUGUCCUGCAAAGAACAUGUUAAAGGCUUGGUUCACAUCCUGUGGUGCUACUGGGAAGUGGUGGAACAUUUAUGUGAUAGGACCUAGUGGGAGGCCUUCUAGUAAUUGUGUGCAUAUCUUUGAAGAGGAUAUUUGGACCCUAGCCCUUUUAUUUUCCUCUCUCGGUCUUGUGGCCUGGCCAUGAAGUGAAUGGUUUUGCCACAUACUGCUGCCAUGAUGUGGUGCCUUGCCACAGGCCCCAAAGCAAUGGGGCCCACCAAUCAUGGACUGGAAACUGCAAAAACUAUAAACCCAAACAAAUCUCUUCUUGUGAUAAGCUGAUCAUCUCAGAUACUUGCUAUAGUAAUGGACAGUGAAUGUACAGAUAUUCACAUAAGCUUUGUGUAUAACAGCCAACAAUUAGAAAUGAUUCAUCAAUGCUGGGCAUGGUGGCACAUACCUCUAAUCCUAGUGAUUCAUGAGGCUGAGGCAAGAGGAUCCCAAGUUUGAGACCAUCUUCAGGAACUUGGUGAGGCUCUGAGCAACUUAGCAAGAUGCCGUCAGGGGAUUUGGCUUAGUGGUGAAGUGCCCUUGGGUUCAGUCCCUGGUACCAAAAAAAAAAAAAAAAAAAAAAUUAUCAACUGGUUGAAUGGAUGAAUAAAAUGUUGUUUCAUUCAGUGGAAUGCAAUUUAUCAAUAAAAAGAACAAACUACUGACACAUGUUACAACAUAGAUAAACUUUGAAAAUUUUCAGAAACCUGAUGCAAAAAAAACCACAUACUGUUAUUAUUUAAUUUAUAUUAAAUAUCUAGAAAAGACAAAUCUAUAUAAACAGAAAAUAGAUUCAUUUGCUGUUGCCUAGGCUUGCAGGAAUGGAGAAUAAUUGUAUAUGGACACAGGGAUACCCUUGGGUUGAUGGAAAAUGUGUGGUGGAUUAUGGUGAUGGUUGUAUAGCCCUGUAAAUUUACUAAAAUUAUUGAUUUUGACAAUUACAACAGUGAAUAUUGCAUGUGAAAAUGUUUGCUUUCUGUACUGGGGAUCAAACCCAGGGAUUCAUGUAUGCCAGGUAAACUCUCUACCACUGAGCCACAUCUCCAACCCUCUGUAGUGGUUUUAUUUUAUUUUUUGUUUUUUGAGGAACUUCAUACAGUUUUUCAUAAUGCUGUACUAAUUUACAUUUCCACCAACACUAAUUUACAUUUCCCCUUUCUCCAUGUCCUGUUCAGCAUUUGUUAUUUUUUUGACAAUGACCAUUCUAACUGGUGUAAAUGAUAUCUAAUUUUAGUUUUUAUUUGCAUUUAUCUGAUGGUUAGUGGUGUAGAGCAUUUCUUCAUAUACCUGUGGGCCAUUUGUAUGUAUUCUUUUGGGAAAUGUCUGUUCAGAUCUUUAGCUCCUUUUUAAAUUGGAUUUUUUUUCUAUUGGCUUGAUUUUCUUAUAAAUUCUAAAUACUAAACCUUUGUUAGUUGUAUGUAUAGUUUGCAAAUAUUUUCUCCCAUGUUGUAGAUUGUCUCUCAUUCUGUUGAUUGUUUCCUUUGCUGUGUUGAAACUUAAAUUUGUUGCAAUCCCUUUUGCCUACUUGGGGAUUUGUUUCUUGUGCUUUUGGUGUCAUAUCCAAAAAAUAAAUAAAUAAGUCUGCCCAAUUCCAAUGUCCUGAAGCAUUUCCCCUAUGUUUCCUUCUCAUAGUUUCACAGUUUCAGGUCUUAUGUUGAAGAUUUUAAUCCAUUUUGAGUUGAUUUUUGUAACUGGUAAGAGAUAGGGGGUCCAGUUUCAUUUUUCUGCUUGUGGCUAUCUGAUUUUCUCUGCCCCCAUUUUCACUGCCAUUGCCCAUUGUGUAUUCUUAGCUACUUUAUCAAAAAUCAUUUGGCUAUAAAUGCAUGGGUUUAUUUCUGGGCUCUCUUCUAUGUUCCAUUGGUCUGUUUUUAUUGCCAGUACUAUGGUGUUUUGGUUACUAUAGCUUCUGAGUAUAUUUUGAAGUUAGUAUGAUACUUUCCAUUUUGUUCUUUUUGCUAAAGGUUGCUUUGGUAAUUUUGGAUCUUUUACAGUUCCAUACAUAUUUUAGAAUAUUUUUCUAUUCCCGUGAAAAAUAUCAUUGGAAUUUUGACAGAUUUUAUUGAAUUUGUAGAUCACAUUGUGUAAGUAUGGAUAUUUUAACAAUAUUAACAAUUUAACAAUUUAACAAUAUUAAUUCCUAUAGCCCCAGAGCCUGACACAUCUUUCAGUUAUUUAUAUCCUCUUCAAUUUAUUUCAUAAAUGUUUUAUAAUUUUCAUUGCAGAGAUCUUUCACCUCUGCUAUCAUUUGGAUGUGUUUUGUCCCCUUCAUGUAUUGGAAGCUUGAUCCCCAGAGUGACAAUGUUGAGAGGUGGCAAGGAACCUUUAAGAAAGAGGUGGAGCCUGGUGGGAGGUCCACUGGGAGUGCUGUCCUUGGAAGGGAUUAAGGUAGUUGCUCUGGGACCUCAUAUUUAGUUCUUGGAAGAGUGAGUUGUUAUAAAAACUUUAGCCUGAUCCUUGAAUAACUCUGCAUCUCAUGUCUGGCCAUGUGAUCUCUGCCCUCACUUCUGCUCUCACUACUGUGAUGUCAUCCAUCAGGAGAGUUUCUCGCUAGAAUCAAACUGAUGAUGGUGCCAUGCCUUUGAACCUGUAGAACUGUGGGUUAAGUAAACCUCUUUUCUGUAUAAAAUUACCUACCCUCAAUAUUUUAUUGUAUUAACAAAAUGGACAAUACAAUAAAUGUAUUAACAAUAUAGUCUCUUGUUAAAUUUAUUCCUAAUUGUUUUCUAAUGGAGUAUUUCUUUUUUUGUCCUUCUCUCCCCAACCCCUUCUUUCUUCUUUUGAUGGAACUGGAGGUGCUCUGCCAUUGAGCUGAGUCUUCUUUUGUUUUUUAAAUUUCAAGACAGAGUCUUGAGACUGAGUUUCCCAGGUUGGCAUCAAACUUGGGACCCUCUUGCCUUAGCCUUCGAAGCAGCUGAGAUUAUAGGCGUAAAUGGUUGCUCCCUGGAUGAACUCUUUAUUACAGGUAGGAGAUACAAGGUACAAUAAACUGUCAUUCAUUUUGGAGGGAAUGUCCCAGCAUUCCCCAGACCCUAAGGCCACUGGGUACUCAAUGACUCAUAUGAUUCAUCAUUGAAUCUUUUCAGAGUUUAUCUCUUUCUAGAGUGUAUGUAUUAUCAGGGUAUCCAAAAUACUUCUGCUUCUUGUUCAUCACGUCUGGUUUACAUGAUACCAUCAAUAUAAUGGACUAAUAUGAUGUUCUACAAAAUACCCACAUGGUUUAGGUCCUUUGAGAUAAUAUUAAUUUUUAUAAUCUAGACUUGGGGUAAGAAUGUGAAUAUAUAGUGAUAUCUGUUCCAUGUUAAUCAGAUUGUUUUUUGAACUUCUUUCUAGAUAGGAAUAAAAAGAAUAUGUUUAUCCAAAUCGAUGUCCAUAUACUACCCACCAGAGGUUUAAUAUGUUCUGAAGAUACCACAUCCAGCACAGUAGAUUGAAUUGGGACUAUUCCUGAGAAGGUGCCAGACUUAUAAAUUAAGUUGGGAUAUGAUGGGGCCACUACCUAAUGUUUUAAGGGUGAUGUUAAUCCCUAUCCAUCUCCCGGUUUGUGGUUUUGUUUUGUUUUGUUUUGUUACCUGGGAUUGAACUGAAGGGCACUCGACCACUCAGCCAUAUUCCCAGCACUUUUCUGUAUUUUAUUUAAAGAUAGAGUCUCACUGAGUUGCUUAGCGCCUCACUGUUGCUGAGGCUGGCUUUAAUCUUUCGAUCCUCCUGCCUCAGCCUAUGUCAGCUGCUGGGAUUACAGGCGUGCAUCACCAUGCCCUAUUUGUUUGUUUGUUGUUGUUUUUAUUUACAGUGUCAUGUAUUAAAUCCAGGGCCUUGCACAUACUAGACAAAUGAUCUACUAAUGAACUACAUCCCCAGCCCUUUUAAAGGGGUUUUAAGCAAGACAGUGUCUUGCUGAGUUUCCCAUGCUGGCCUCAAACAUGUGAUCCUCUCAUCUUAGUCUCCUGAGAGUAGCCGGGAUUACAGACAUACACACCAUGCCCUGCUUGUUUUUUAUUCAUUAUCUUGGCCGUUGGAGGGCUUUUUAUGGAGGAAUGAGUUUCAGGGGCUCUCUCUCUCUCUCUUUUCUUUUUUUGGUACUGGGGUUUGAACUCGGGGCACUCGACCUCUGAGCCACAUCACCAGCCCUAUUUUGUAUUUUAUUUAGAGACAGGGUCUCACUGAGUUGCUUAGGGCUUCACUAAAUUGCUGAGGCUGGCUUUGAACUCAUGAUCCUCCUGCCUCAGCCACCCGAGCCACUGGGAUUACAGGUGUAAGCCACCGCUCCAGGCUCAGGGGCUCUCCUAAUUCAAAAGCUUUUACUCCACAGAUCAAGGAAGUGAGGUAAUGAUUCUGCCAAUGGAUAAUGUAUUCAUUCCAAUUAUUCAUUUGGGAAUCAUGGAGGUCACUACUGGGCCCAUUGUGAGACAGAUAUGGGCCAAUACUUAACUGAUAUCCAUAAUCCCCUUUCUAACAAGGGGUCACAAAUACCGUUUGGGUUCCUGGAUGUCAGUGUAUAAUUACCUCCUUGGUAAAGUUUGUGCAUUCUGCUUUCCCCACCUAUCUGAGUAAACGGUCAUAGAUUCUUUUGGAGAAGGACUAGGAACACUGCUGGAUAUACUUGCUGUGUUUUGUAGGAUACUUCCUCAUGGGAACCUGGCCACUCCUUCAUUUUAUUGGUUCUGGGUCUGAGAACUAAAGUAGGUCUGAAAAGUAGAAAAGGAGUUAUGAUUUUCUUUUUUUUCCCUCUCUUUUUCGAUAUUGAAGCUUGAACCCAGGAGCACUUUACCCCUGAGCUGCAUUCUCAGCCCUUUUUAUUUUUUAUUUUGAGACAGGGUCUCGCUGAAUUGCAUAGGAUCUCAUUAAGUUGCUGAGGCUAUCCUUUAAAUUGUGAUCUUCUUGCUCUAGCCUCCCAAGUCACUGAGAUUACAGGUGUGUGCCACCACACCUGGCAGAAGUUGUGACUUUUAUUGUGGCAGUUCACGUUAGACUUUUGCUUACUGAAUUUUUUUUCUUUUUUAAAAAAAGAUUAUAUGUACAGCAAUGCCCUUAAUGGCUGUUCUUCUAUCUUGUCCCUGGGAAUACAAUAUUCUAUUAUCCAAUGCAUUAGAUCCCUGUGGGUCAGGAGACAUAGGUUGCCAUUCUGUUAUGGUUUGAAUAUGAGGUGUCUCCCCCAAAAUUUAUUAGGCAAUGGAACAGGAACCAGUGUUGAAAUGAUUAGAUUAUGGGAGCUGUAUCCUAAUCAGUGGAUUAAUCCAUUUGAUGGAUUAAUAAUUUGAAAUGGACUACUGGGUGGCAAACAUAGAUAGGUGGGGUGUGAUAUAGGAAGUAGGUCACUGGAGGUGUGCCCUUGGAGAUUAUAUAUAUUGUCUUUCUUCUCCUCCUCCUCCUCCUACCCCUCCCCUUCUCUUCCUCCUCCUCCUUCUCCUUUUUGUUCUGGGGUGGGGGGUACCAGGGUACCUCAGAGGUACUCAACAACUGAGCCAUAUCCCCAGCCCUAUUUUAUAUUUUACUUAAAGGCAGGGUCUUGCUGAGUUGCUUAGUGCCUCACUGUUGCUGAGGCUGGCUUUGAACUCACGAUCCUCCUGCCUCAGCCUCCAGAGCCUCUGGGAUUACAGGAGUGCACCACCACACUGGCUCUUCCUCUCCUUCCCCUCCCCCUCUCCCUCCUGCCUCCUUCCUCCUCUUCCUCCUCCUCUCUCUAUUCUUGCUGCCAUGAGCAGCUGAUCAGCUUGGAUUAAGAGAUGCUAGUAAUGUGGAAUGUCUGUUGCUGAAGAAAAAUGCUGCCUAUAGAGAGAGUCAGCCUAAGAGAGAGGCCACAUGGGCUUCAACCAGCAAGAUCAAAGGAGCAUGACAGCACAAGCUCUUUGGAGAGCAUAUCUCACCAUCAUGUGCCCUGGGUGCAGGGCAUGGAGCUAUAGGACCUAAUGUUUGCCCAGUUGGGGUUUGGUCUGUUUUGUUCCCAUCCCUUUUUUCUAUGUCCCUAUUCCUCCCUUUUGGAAUGGGAAUGUUUACUCUGUUCCAUUAUAUAUUGAAUAUAUGUAACUUGCUUUAUCUUUACAGGGGCUAUAGCCAACAGUUUGCCUUCAGUCUCAAAGGAGACUUUAGAUUUGGACUUUUGUGUAAUGCUGGGUAUGUUAAGACUAUGGGGACUUUUGAGGAUUGACUGAAUACAUUUUGCAUGUGAUAUGGACAUGAGAUUUUGGGGGCUAGCGGCAGAAUUUUAUGGUUUGGAUAUGAGGUGCCUCCCCACAAAGCUAAUGUUAGGCAAAGUAGUAAUGUUCAGAGGUGAAAUAUUAGAUUAGAAGAGCUAUAACCUCAUCAGUGAAUUAAUCCAUUUCAUGGAUCAAUAAUUGAAAUGGAUUACUGAGUAGUAACUGUUAGCAGGUUGGGUGUGGCUGAAUAAUGUAGUCACUGGGAAUGUGCCUUGGGGAUUAUAUAUCUUGUCUCUGGCCUUUUCCCCUCCCCUCUGCUUUCUGGCUGCCAUGAGCUAAGAAGCUUUCCUCCAUCACACACUUCCACCAUGAUGUUCUGCACUCAGGACCAGAGCAAUGGAGUCAGUAGACCAUGGACUGAAAUUGAAACUGAUAACCCAAAAGAAACUUUUCCUCCCCUGAGUUUUUCUUAUCAAGUAUUUUGGUCACAGCAAUGAAAAGAUAACUACCAUACAUUCCAGCCUUGUUGCCCUUAUACUCAUCUUGCUUCUGAUGGUUAAGUGCUGCUUCAUGGCAUCCCCUAUUCCAGAAUUUUAACAACCCUAUGCUACUAGGAAGCUCAGUUUUGUAAUAGUAUCUUCUACCAUCAACUUUGGCUCAUAGAGGACAGCUACUAUGCUGGUGCUCCUUCUCCAUCACAUUAUUAUUUUUCUUUUUUUAGAGAGAGAGAGAGAGAGAGAGAGAGAGAGAGAGAAUAUUUAUUUUUUAGUUUUCGGCAGACACAACAUCUUUAUUUGUAUGUGGUGCUGAGGAUCGAACCCAGGCCACAUGCAUGCCAGGCGAGCGCACUACCACUUGAGCCACAUCCCCAGCCCUCUGUCACAUUAUUUAUCGCUUUGAUAGGUGAAGUAUUUUGUGGGCCCCACCAAAGAACUUAGUUUUGGUUAGCUGGUAGGUCUUGUUUCAUAAUUAAUCUGUUUUAAUGGAUUUUGAUUUAUUCCUUCACAGUCUACCAUUGAGUUCUAGUGUUAUGACUUCAUUUAAUGUGAGCCAUUAAUUUUUCCUCCCUUAUAAAACCAAACAAAUAUACACACAGUAAUCAUCUCAAGGGCCUUUGAGGCCCUUGCCAGUGUAUGGAACCCAGCAUCACCAAAGAGUACCUCCAUAUUAACAUGCUUUUCCUUAUCCACUUUUAUAGAUCUAGCACCCUCAGAUAUAAUCUUCCUGUUCUUGCUAAUGAAUGUCAGCCAUGUUCUGCAGCUUUUAAAAUGUAUAAUUGCUCUUCUCUGUCAGCAUGUCAAAAUACUUCUGUCCUCCCUUGUUAAAAUUUGACUGUAGUUAUUGUUCUAGUUGCCCAGAAAGGAGAGGGACAGAACAUUAAAAGAGCAGGCAGUGUCUUGGACUCGAAUAUUCAAGUUCUUUUUGUGAUCUUCAAUCAAGGAAGGAUUGCUGUUCUCUAAAGGGGGAAUUAAAGCAAUUCUACAGGCCUAGAAGUUUCUGGAGGAUCAUGUGGUUCAAGGAUCCCAAAUGCAUAUACCCAGCAAUGCCUAUCACAGUUAUCAAGGUUCCAUGUUUUUUCUUUACUAAGUCCCUGAUUUUGAUGGAGGAGGGUCACUGAAACUAAGAAUUCAACUUUUUCUAAUUUAUGCUUCUCUUAUGAUUUGAUGUUAUGCCAGAGAACAGUCAGUUCUCUGUCCAUAGAAGAUAAGGGGAUGUUUAAAGUCUGUCAAGAAGAGUUUACAGCUCCACAUUUUGCUUUGCGUUGGUAAAUGAUUAACUCACAAUUUCUUUCUUUCUUUGGUGUCUUCAAAACCAUCAGUUGUACUCAGCAACAGCCACCCAACAAAUACUACAGUACUUGUGAUUACUACUUCCCCAUAUCUUUUUUUUAGUUGUAGAUGAACAUGAUACCUUUAUUUUAUUUAUCUAUUUUUUUAUGUGGUGCUGAACAUUGAACCCAAUGCCUCACAUGUGCUAGGCAAGCGCUCCACCACUGAGCUAUAACCCCAGUCCCUUCCCCAUACCUUUUAAUUUCCAGAGUUACAUUAUAUGCCAUUUCACCUCCAUUUACCUGUAUCCUAUCCCACUUUACCACAGAUGAAAGCCUUAAUAAUUAAUUGCUACGGAAGGUCAGUGAUUACCAGUACACCAACUACCACUAGUUUUAUUAAUAAUGUAAUAAUAAUAAUAAUAAUAAUAAUAGUAAUUAUUAUUAUUAUUAUUAUUAUUAUUGUUUUUGUACUGGGGAUUGAAGUCAGGGGAACUCUACCAGUAAGCUACAUUCCCAGACCCUUUUAUUUAUUUAUUUUUUUUUAAUUUUGAGAGAAGGUCUUGCUAAUUGCUGAGUGUGGUCUGGAACUUGCGAUCCUCCUGCAUCAAUCUCCCAAGUUGUGGGGAUCAUAGGUGUAUGCCACCACACCUGUCCUCCAACUACUUCUAGUAACAGAGUUAUCAAUGCCAAUUGAUUGUCAGGAAACUCAAUUCUAGAAUCCCAUCCUUUGACUUUCACUUCCUCCCAAUUCCAAGUGUCUUUGAUUUGGUUUUUAGAAAUCCUUAGGACAGGGAUUUGGGUGCUUGCAAUUUAUGGACAGAGUGCUUUUUAUGAAAAAUCUGUAAAAUUUUAAUGGAAGUAGAAUAGGGAAAGAUGCUAAGUAAUAAUAUGAUCCAUGGUAAAGUCUAGCUUUGUCUGGAUUCAUUGGCACGGGAAGGAGGCGUCUAGAAUUACAUUGCAUUGCAGUUUGUCCCACCUUAGAGCAAAGAAGCUGGACUCUUAUAUCCCCAUAUUAGACACUGGUGGCCCCAGUGAGGAGGUGUAUGUAACUUCCCAAACAUCUCUGGGCAUGUACAGUGGUAGUAUAAGGACUAAUACAAAUUAAGAAUAAGAGACUUAAUUCUUUCCAUCUCCCCCUUUUUAGUGGACUUUAGAAAACUUUCAAGUACUUUCUUCUCUCUGUCAAAUGUAUAUAAAUCCUUUUGAAGAGUACAUAUGGGAGGGUAGGAGAACAACUUUGGUGGAAACCUUGUUCUAAGUUGUAAAAAUACCUCUUGUCAUAAAGAUAUGAGACAUUUAUUUUUUUCCUCUGGAUAAAGUCAAUUAGCUAACACAUCAGAUGGUCACCCCAAUUAUCAGGUCAAGUUAGCAUUGAACUAUGUGCAACAAAUGGUGCUGUCAAAUCCUGUUACUUGAGGACUAGUUAUUGAUCAUCCUGAGAACAUGCAUGUAAUGGGUUGUAUCUGCUUGAUUAUAGUAGGAGGUGAUGUUUCUUUCUUUUUUUCAGGUUUAUAAGUUAUUUAUUCAUUCAAGAGUACAAUAAUGUAACAGUGAAAAAGAAAAAGACCAUACUCUGAGUGUACAAUCUAGCAAUUUUUCCCCCCCUGAGGUCUUUUAUUUUUCACAUCUUCAUACAUGUAUUUUGGAUAAUGAUGAGAGUCUCUCUUAAACUUUUAAAUACUUUCUCCUCUCUGUCAAAUGUAUAUAAAUCCUUUUGAAGAGUACAUAUGGGAGGGUAGGAGAACAACUUUGGUGGAAAACUUGCUCCAAGUUGUAAAAAUACCUCUUGCAUAAAGAUAUGAGAAGUUUAUUUUUUUCCUCUGGAUAAAGUGGAUUAGCUAAAUUAGCUAAAUACCAUGAUACAUGGUAAAGUCUAGCUUUGGCUGGAUUCAUUGGCACUUUCCAUCCCACCCCUAUUCCCUAUCUAGAGGGUAAUCUUUGUUCCUUGCUCUCCCUCCCAACCCCAUUUUGAGUCACCUCCCUUAUAUCAGAGAAGACAUUUGGCAUUUGUUUUUUUUUGGGGGGGGAUUGGCUAACUUCACUUAGCAUAAUCUGCUCUAAUGCCAUCCAUUUCCCUGCAAAUGCCAUGAUCUUAUUAUUUUUUAUUGCUGAGUAAUAUUCCAUUGUGUAUAAAUGCCACAUUUUUUUUAUCCAUUCAUCCACUGAAGGACAUCUAUGUUAGCUCCACAGUUUAGCUAUUGUGAAUUGGAGGUGAUGUUCCUUUCUGUCUUUGAAAUCUCUUAGCUGAUUGCCUGGGACAUGCAUUACCUUCUGGCUUAAUGCUUAUUCAAUAAUAAAACUAUUUUCUUGCUUUACUACCAUUGUGAAGAGAAUUCGGGGGUUAAAAAUAUUUUUUGUUUUCACAUCUCUCCCUCAAUUGUGUGAUAAGGACAAGGAAGAAUCUGGUAGUUCCCAAUUUGAACCGACAACUUAAGGUGUAUGGCCACAGAACAAUGAGGUAAAGAGACCCUGAGUUAUAAAAUCUCCCUUCCAGUUCUCCCUUUUUUUUGAAUACUAGCUAGAAAAAUCCACCCUCUCCAAAUUAAAUUAUUAUAUUAUUAAAUAAGCAUGGGUAAUAUGGACUCUAAAAUUCCUUCAGCAUCAAUGUAUGGUUAGAUAAUAUGGGAAGCAGGAGUGUUUUCUACAGGUCUUUCAUAUAAAUGGUUAUUCUCUCUCUACUGCAUGAUAAUACAGUCCUGUACUGGCCAAAGGAGAGGUUUGUUUUUUGUUUGUUUGUUUGUUUGUUUUUGUUUUUGUUUUUUUGGUGCUGAGGAAUGGAGGCAGGGCCUUACACAUGUGAGGCAAGCACUCUACCAUCUAAGCUAUAUCCCCAGCUCUAGGACAGUUAUUUUGUUUUGGAUAAAUGAAGACAUCAGUGGAGUUUCUUGUAUGUCUCUAAUCCUAGUGAAUGAAUUUCUGGUAUUAAUGGGAUGAAUAUUAUUUUAAGAGUAAAGUUAAGAAUGAUUUAGAGGGAGUCAGGCAUGGCAGCACAGACCUGUAAUCCCAGUGACUCAGGAGGCUGAGGCAGGAGGACUGCAAGUUUGAGGCUAGCCUCAGCAUGCAAUUUGUGAAUUUCUAAGCAAUUUAGCAUGACUCUGUCUCAAAAUUAAAAAAAUAAAAAAUAAAAAGGGCUAGGGGCUUAGCUCAGUUGGAAAGCACCUCUGGUUUGAUUCCCAGUACAAAAAGAAAAAGAAAAAAAAAGGAAUGAUUUAGAGGGAUUGGGGUUACAGUUCAGUAGUGGAGCACUUGCCUAGCAUGUGCAAAGCCUUGGGUUGGAUUCUCAACACUGCAAAAACUAAAGUUUCAUAUGAUUUCAAUGUAGCUAGUGACCUAACUAGCCCCGCCUGAAGUUCAUAAAAAUAAAAAAUAAAUAAAAAUAAAUAGCCAGAGGUGAGGUGUUUUAGUCUGUUUAUUUAUUUAUAUAUUUAUAUUUGUCCCUAUGGCCAGAACACUCAACAAGAACAACUUAGAGGAGGAGAAGCUUAUUUGAGGGCUCAUGAUUUCAGUGUUCUCAGUUUACUGAUGCUAAUGCCAUAGUUCUGGGCCCAAGGUAAAGCAGAACAUCAUGGGGAAAGGGCAUGGUGAUGGAAUCCUGCUCACCUCAUGGCAGCCAGGAAGCAGAGAGAAUGAGGAACAGGUCUCAGGGAAGAUGCACCCUUCUAGGGCACACUCCCAGUGACCCACCUGUUCCAGACACAGCCCCCCUGCCUAUAGUAACCACCCAGUCAGUCUAUUCAAACUAGGAUAGACUGAUAGACCAUAGCUCUCAUAAUCUAAUUAUUUCACUCCUGAAUAUUCCUUCAUUAACAGGAGUUGUAGGGGGACACUUCAUAUCAAAACCACAGCAAGAGGGAGAAACCUGUUUCUCCUCAAUGUCCUUAUCCCUCACCGACUCCUCUCUUGUCCCUUCCUUCCUAUUCUCUCCCUCCCCUUCCUUCAUUGUUUUUGUUUUUAGUGGACAAAUCUAACUCUUGUUUGCUUUUGCUUAUGAAGGAGUCCACUAUCUAAGGCAAAGAGUUUCUCAAAAGUUUUGAGAUUCCUCUUUAUAGGAAAACUAAGAAAAAUUUGCUCCACCAGCAGCUUCUCUAGUUUUUCAAAAUGUAGAUGAUUUGCUGGUAGUCUCCAAUGAAGACCAAUGAAAAUUGACUUUUUUUUUUUUUACAAUUAUUUGCUUUGUGAGAACCUAAGGCCUCACUAAACAAAUUGCAGUAUUGCUUUUCUAAGGUAAAAUAUUUAGAGCAUCUGUUAUUAGCUAUAGGCUACAGAAUGUUACAGUCGAAGAGCCAUUCUGUUUUGAGAUCAAAUGGCCAAUGAAAAAUAUGUAGUGCUGCUAAAAAAUAACAAGUUCAUGGCAUUUGCAUGGAAAUGGAUGGCAUUAGAGCAGAUUAUGCUAAGUGAAGCUAGCCAAUCCCUAAAAAACAAAGGCCAAAUGUCUUCUUUGAUAUAAGGGGGGUAACUCAAAAUGGGGUAGGGAGGAAGAGCAUGAGAAGAAGACUACCACUAAAUAGGGAAGAGAGGUAGGAGGGAAAGGGAGGGAGAAGGGGAAUUGCAUGGAAGAUGGAAGGAGACCCCCUUCAUUAUGCAAAAUACAUGUAGGAUGAUGUGAGGGGGGGGAAAAAGAAAUGUGUCACAUUAGAUUGGGUAGAGAGAAGUGAUGGGAGGGGAGGGGAGGGGAAGGGGGGAUAGGAAGGGCAUCAGAAUAAAAUAGACACUAGUAUUGCUGUAUAUAUAUACAUGUCUGUAUAACCAAUGUGAUUCUGCAACCUGUACACUUGGAAAAAUGAGAAAUUAUACCCCAUUUGAUUUAAAAAAAAUGUAGUGCUGUUUUAGUCAGCUUUUUCACUGCUGUGACUAAAGGAUCUGACCAGAACAAUUUUAGGGGAGGAAAAGUUUCGGAGUUUUUAGUCCCUAUACAGCCAGCUCCAUUCUCAAGGGCUCCAGAUGAGGCCGAACAUCAUGGUGGUAGACUGGGGGCAGAGGGAAGCAGCUCACAUGGUGAUCAGGAAGCAGAGAGAGAGAGAGAGAUCUCCACUUGCUUAAUACAAAUAUGUACCUUAAAGCCAUGCCCCUAAAGCCCUGAUUCCUCUAGCCACACCCCAAAUGCUUUCAGUUACCACUGAAUUAAUCCCAUCAGGUGAUUAAUUCACUGAUUGGGUUAAGGAUCUCACACCCCAAUCAUUUCCACUCUGAGCCCUCUCACACUGUCUCACAUAUGAGCUUUUGGGGGACACCUCACAUCUAAACCAUAACAAGUGCUAAGAUCUGCAAUUUGUGUUCCACCCGCAAUUUAUAUAUGUUGAAUCCUAAUCUUCAAUGUGAGGAUAUUAGAAGGUGGGGAUCUGGUUAGGUUAUGAUGGUAGAGCCAUUAUAAAAGAGCUUCUAGAAAGUUGCUGACCCUUCCACCAUAUAAGGACCUAAUGAGAACUUGCUGUCUACAAGAAAGCCAGCUCUCACCAGACACUAAGUUUACUGGUGCCUUGAUCUGGAACUUCCCAGCAUCCAGAACUAUGAGCAGUAAGUAUUUUUUUGUUUAUUAGCCACUCAGCUUAUGGUAUUUUUGUUAUAAUAUCCCAUGGACUAAAGUAGGUGGUUUAGAGCCAAUCCAGUAUUGUAGAUAGCAGGUCCCAGUUUUUGCAGAGCAGGCAAAACCUCCAGUAGAGCAAUUAUAUGACAAUCCUACAAAUCUAGUUGGGUCUCUAUAAUCUGGAUAGCCUUUUGAAUACUAAAAUUGGUAUAGCCUCUUGUCCAGCUUUGAGGAAUCCAAAGUUGAAAAAAAAGACUUAAUUUAUAUGAUGUUCCUGUUCAAAAUGAAGAUUUAAUAAUAUUUAUCAAUUUGUAAUAUAUCAUGGCUAAAAGUGCCUCAUGUAAGGUUCCCUAGCUGUAGUAAUUUAUCAGACAGCUGUGGAAGCUUCUUUUCAUCUGGAAUUAAACCUGCAUAAGCAGAUGUAUUAAUAUCAGUUACUAGAGCUAUGGUUCUUGAUUUUGGAUAUAUAUAUAUAUAUAUAUAUAUAUAUAUAUAUAUAUAUAUAUAUAUAUAAUGUUAUGUAUGUAUAUAAUGUUUUAAAUCCAGAACACACACACACACAUGCACACACAAAUAAAAAUAUAUGUUUAGUAUCUGUCAUGUAACAGAAAUUUUUUAAAAAAUACAGAUUUUUAAGUUCAGUAACAGCUAAAAACGUCAUGGAAAAUUCAUAGAUAAUUUGUUAGAGUUUACAACUGCCUACUCAGAUACCAGAAGGUCAUUUUGCUGAAAGAGCUGUGAAACUCCAUUUUUUUUUUUGUGUGUGUGUGUGUGUAGAUGGACACAACACAAUGCCUUUAUUUUUAUGUGGUGCUGAGGAUCGAACCCGGGCACCGUGCUAGUGAGCACUCUACCAUUGAGCCACAAUCCCAGCCCCGAAACUCCAUUCUUAAUACAAUGAGAAAUCAUUGGUCAUUAUUAAAAAUGCACUUCACAGGGGCUGGGGAUGUGGCUCAAGCGGUAGCGUGCUCGCCUGGUGUGCCUGCGGCCCGGGUUCGAUCCUCAGCGCCACAUACAAACAAAGAUGUUGUGUCCGCCAAAAACUAAAAUAAAUAAAUAAAUAUUUAAAAAAAAAAAUGCACUUCACAAAAGGAAAUGGGCAAAUUGAUUGAAGAAGCAAGUGUUGUUUUGGAUCUGGAAUGUCCCCCAAAGUCUCAUGUGUUGAAGGCUUGGUCCACAGUGAAGCAAUGUUCUGAGGUGGGGCUUUCAGGAAAUGAUUGGAUCAAGUGCACUCUGACUACAUUAUUUGAUUAACCCAUUGAUAGAUUCAUAAUUUGAAUGGAUUAUUGGGAAGUAGUAGCAAGUAUAGAAGGUGGGACCUAGUUGAAGGGGGUGGGUCCUUGGGGCCAUGCUUUUAGGGACUAUAUCAUGUCCUGGGUCACUUCUCUUUCUGCUUUCCAGAACUCAUGAGCUGAGCAGCUUCCUCAGCCACACUUUUCUGCCAUGAUGUUGUGCCUCACCUCAGGCCCAAAGUAGUGGAUUCAUCUGAUUUUGGACUGAAACCUCUGAAACUGUGAGCCAAAAUGA